AUUCUCGAAACAACUCCCUCAUCCUCCUGCUCCUUCCCCUCCCCGUACUCAUUCUCUUGCAAGUUUUUACCCUCUUCUUCUUCAUCAUGGUUGGUCAAUUGUUUCUAGCUCUAUUUUUGGAUGAGCUUCUCCCAGUUUGACUUAAAAUCCUCCUUUCUCUCUUUCUAAAUCUACCAACAAAUGUAACUAGCAGAUUUAUUUUAGGUUUGAUUUUUUUUCAUCAGAUUUAUCUAAUUUGUUUUUGAUUUCGUGAUUGAUGGUUAAUAAUUAUAAAUGGGUGAAACUUAUUCUCGCGUAGUUCGUAUGAGAGAUUGAAUAGGCGUUGUGUUUGACAAGAAGCUGAUUUGGGUGAUUUUGACAGGAAGAGAUGGUUAAUGCUGAGAAGAAGAAGUGAUGAAACAAUUUAUUGAUGGGUUCUCGAAUCAGUUGAUUGUAGAUAUGCAGAUGAUGAAGAAAUGGGUUUAUGAAGAAAGAAGAUGGUUGAAUGGAGAAAUUGCAGCAGAUUCACGAAAAGCUAGGGUUUGGUGGUAAUGAACAGCUAAAUGGAAAAUCGGUUUUAGGUUGAUUUUAGUUUGAACUCGAGUGUGCCAAUCAAGAGUUGUUUGUGGUGGUUGUGUUCAAGAGACUCGGGAGGAAUCAAAACAGCUGUUUAAAUGGUUUUCUUGAGGUGGAUUUGGAUUUGAGAUAAGCAUAAGGGUUAGAUGAAUGUUAGGACAGGGAUGAAGAAGUUAUUGUUGGUGGUUCUGGUUUGUGAUGAAUCCAGAAAUGCGGGAAGACAUUGCAACUGGUUUGGUUGUAGCUGAAGAGGAAGUUGCAGGUUCAGGGCCAGAUGCAGUUGGAGUUGUUCAGUUCUGGAUGCUACAGGGAAGAAGGUCUGGAGAUUGUAUGGCUAAGGUGUUAACAAUGGAUAUAGUAUGCAGUGACUGAAAUGGUGCAGUGUCGCUCCUUAUAUCAGUAAGAACUUAGUUAAAUAGAACAAGAUAACCUUUUUCUUUUUCAUUGCCAACCAUUACAUUUAUUUAUGCUUUUGUGAUUAUUUAUAAUGAUUGUACAACCAGCUGCAGGAGGGAUAUAUAUUGCUUUAAGAAAUGCUUGGUCUGAAUGGAUACAUAUUUCUUUCACUAAUAUAUUCAUCUGAAUGUAUGAAGUAUUUGAUUUUCUUGCAAUGGCUGUAAGUAGGUUAGCUUGUUCUUUGUUAUGUUUUUGGUUGAUGAUGUCGUGAGUGGCUUUCACUCAUUGCUUUUGGUUAGAAGAGUUUUUGGCUUUAAUUGAUUGUGUUUUGCAGAUUAGGGAAGCCAACGAAGAACUGAGAUAUUCUAACUGUUGGCAACUACCACUACAUGGAUCUAUAAAAGCUGAGGUUAGAUAAUUCAUUUUUAGAUACUUCAUAUGACUGAGCCUCAUCCAGAAGGUAAGAAAGUUGCAACUCAGAAUGUUACUAUUUUUAUAAGGAAGUCGACGUCUUGGUCAUUGCCUAAUUGCCUUGAGAAACAUGUCCAGUUCUCAUGUCUGGGCCAAACAUAGAUGCAUGCUCGCCUUGAUUGACUUUGGUUUCUCCCUUUGUACAAUCAGGAAAAGGUAUUGUUCUUUGUAUAGAGAAGGCCUUAGCUCAAUCUGGGGUUUCCAGACAAGAUGUCAACUACGUGAACGCUCAUGCAACAUCAACACAAGCUGGUGACUUGAAGGAGUACCAAUCUAUCAUCCGUUUUUUUGGCUAAAAUCCCGAUUUGAGAGUGAAUUCCACCAAGUCCAUGAUCGGUCACCUAUUAGGAGCAGCUGGUGCUGUGUUGUUGCACUGGUGCAGGCAAUACGGAUGGUUGGGUCCAUCCAAAUGUCAAUCUUGAAAACCCUGAGGCAGGCGUGGCUUUCGGAUCUCAAGUUUUGUAUUGCAGCAACAAAAGUAGACUUGAUCCAGCAUAAGUGAGUAUUAAUGGAGGUGCAAUGCCCAUUGUGGGUGUCCUCUUAGUACACAGGUUAUACAUUAUGAGCUUCCUAGCACUUCAGAGAUCUUUCACAUAGCUCUGGUAGAACAAGAUGUGAUGGAAAGAUGGUGAUAAUGCAGCCCUCUUAAAUAAAUACUCUUUUGAUGCAGAACCAAUAAUGCAGUGAAAGGAGUGAUUCAUACUCCCUGCUGACAGGUAUCUAUUAUACUGAAAACAUAAAAUUAGAACCUAUAUAUAAUAGCUUACAUCAUCUCUGUAAUUCUCUAGAAUUUGAACUAAUGUGAACUCAUAACUGAACUUGAUAAAUAUAUUAUAUUUUUUCUA